rnacentral:rRNA from 1 species
UAGAGUUUGAUCCUGGCUCAGGAUGAACGCUGGCGGCGUGCCUAAUACAUGCAAGUCGAACGAAUCUCUUUUAGAGAUGAGUGGCGAACGGGUGAGUAAUACAUAGGUAACCUGCCCCUGUGCGGGGGAUAACAGGAGGAAACUCCUGCUAAUACCGCAUAGCCAUGAGCACCGCAUGGAGCUCAUGCCAAAUAUCCUUUCGGGGACAGCGCAGGGAUGGACCUAUGGCGCAUUAGCUAGUUGGCGGGGCAACGGCCCACCAAGGCAACGAUGCGUAGCCGGCCUGAGAGGGCGGACGGCUACAUUGGGACUGAGACACGGCCCAGACUCCUACGGGAGGCAGCAGUAGGGAAUUUUCGGCAAUGGGGGAAACCCUGACCGAGCAACGCCGCGUGAGCGAAGAAGGCCUUCGGGUCGUAAAGCUCUGUUGUAAAGGAAGAACGGCGCAUACAGGAAAUGGUAUGCGAGUGACGGUACUUUACCAGAAAGCCACGGCUAACUACGUGCCAGCAGCCGCGGUAAUACGUAGGUGGCGAGCGUUAUCCGGAAUCAUUGGGCGUAAAGAGGGAGCAGGCGGCCGCAAGGGUCUGUGGUGAAAGACCGAAGCUAAACUUCGGUAAGCCAUGGAAACCGGGCGGCUAGAGUGCGGAAGAGGAUCGUGGAAUUCCAUGUGUAGCGGUGAAAUGCGUAGAUAUAUGGAGGAACACCAGUGGCGAAGGCGACGGUCUGGGCCGCAACUGACGCUCAUUCCCGAAAGCGUGGGGAGCAAAUAGGAUUAGAUACCCUAGUAGUCCACGCCGUAAACGAUGGUCACUAAGUGUCGGGGGUCAAACCCCGGUGCUGCAGUCAACGCAAUAAGUGACCCGCCUGAGUAGUACGUUCGCAAGAAUGAAACUCAAAGGAAUUGACGGAAGGGCUGAAUUCCAGC